GACGAACGCUGGCGGCGUGCUUAACACAUGCAAGUCGAGCGGUAAGGCCCUUUCGGGGGUACACGAGCGGCGAACGGGUGAGUAACACGUGGGUGACCUGCCCUUAGCUCUGGGAUAAGCCUGGGAAACUGGGUCUAAUACCGGAUAUGACCUCAUGACUCAUGUUGUGGGGUGGAAAGCCUUGUGCGGCUAGGGAUGGGCCCGCGGCCUAUCAGCUUGUUGGUGGGGUAAUUGCCUACCAAGGCGACGACGGGUAGCCGGCCUGAGAGGGCGACCGGCCACACUGGGACUGAGACACGGCCCAGACUCCUACGGGAGGCAGCAGUGGGGAAUCUUGCGCAAUGGGCGAAAGCCUGACGCAGCGACGCCGCGUGAGGAUGACGGCCUU
rnacentral:rRNA from 1 species